CAAAAACAGUCCCUAAUAUCCAAUGUCCGAUACAUUUUUAUUAGGCUAUUAUUAUCAGUUGUGUACCUCGGGUGCUUUUCGUGCCAGCCUGGGUGAACCACACCCUCGCGCCUCACGUGCGUGCAGCUGUGCAGUAUUGAACGUUAUGUGCGUGUCGGUCACGAGCACCCGCAGCAUCAGCAACACAAAGAGGGUCGAAGAGCUCUGGAUUGGAGAUAAGGAGCCGCGGGCAACUUCGAGGCCGAUUUGCUGGGAAACAAGAUCACUUAUAAGAGAGGCGACGACAGGGCAAAUUUCAGCCGUUCAGACGCCUGUUCGGGAAGAGGAAGAAGAGGCAGGCUGCAGCGAGGAAGGCAAGCUUCUCCUCGGAGGAAGUGUGCAACGGAGUCCUCUCAGACGAUGAAGAGACCAAUCAACAUCUAAGUAGGGAGCUGCUCCCCAUUGGAUCCCGUUCCUUCUCCCACGACAGCGUGUUCAUCCCAGAGGAACCAGUACAUGAGCCCAGCCCAGAACAGACCAUGUCGCAGGAAAACGUCUCCGAUAAAGUCCGAAACCUGCAGGUGGGCGCACACCCACACGCACGCACAGUCAGAUGUUUACUCCAUGACCAGUUUAUUAAGUACACCCAUUCUAGUAUCAGGUCGAAUCCCUUUACCUCCAGAGCAGAUUAAAUAAUUCAGGGCAUGAAUUCUACAAGGUAGAAUGCGGAUGGUACAGUGGUACGGUCAUGGUGUUACAGCCCGUUCCAUCUCAUCCCAAAGAGCCUCUAUUGGGUUGAGGUGUGGGAACUGCACAGACAACACAAGUAACCUGAACCUGGAUUCAUUGGACCAGGGAAUGUUUUUUCCACUACUCAGUUGUCCAGUGUUGUUGAUCACAUGCUCACGUAUGUAUCUGGUGUGGUCAACUGUUACAAUAGCCCAUCUAAGACGGCUUACAUUGCUGGUUUUCCAGUCAAACGUUUCGCCAAACAGUAUCUGAAUGGGUCAGUGUAUAGAAAUUAUUUUUAGAAUUUUGUUUUUCUGAAUUAUGAUUUGAAAACUAAAAUGAAGUAUUAUGUGUGUGUUGAAUGAUCAGAGGCAGAUAGCGCAGAAUAUUAAGUUCGGCCAGAGGCCCCCAUCUCUGAGGAAGAGUGAGGGA
rnacentral:lncRNA from 1 species